rnacentral:misc_RNA from 1 species
AACCUAGCACACCUGCGGUGUGUACCUGCGGAAGGAUCAUUAACAAGCUGUGGGAGAUCGAUCAAUUUGAUCUCACACCUGGCCAACCUUGUUAACCUUAAAUAUAUUGCUUUGGUGAGCCCUGCUCACCAAAGUCAAACCCUAAACUCUUGAUUGUUUCUGCUGUCUGAGCAUGCAAGUGCAAAAUUUAGUUAAAAACUUUCAACAAUGGAUCU